rnacentral:rRNA from 1 species
GGUACCCACAGAAGAAGUCCUGGCUAACUCCGUGCCAGCAGCCGCGGUAAUACGGAGAGGGCUAGCGUUAUUCGGAAUUAUUGGGCGUAAAGGGCGCGUAGGCGGAUUAGUAAGUUAAAAGUGAAAUCCCAAGGCUCAACCUUGGAAUUGCUUUUAAAACUGCUAAUCUAGAGAUUGAAAGAGGAUAGAGGAAUUCCUAGUGUAGAGGUGAAAUUCGUAAAUAUUAGGAGGAACACCAGUGGCGAAGGCGUCUAUCUGGUUCAAA